CCAAAGUGAAAAGGAAAACCAGGCUUUAAAGCAAGAACUAAUAAAGCAAUGUCAAGAGACAAAGAAAUUAGAAGAGAACAUAAAAUAUCUCACUGACAAAGUGACAGAUUUGGAAAAUAGAGGGAGAAGAGAUAAUUUAAGAAUAAUUGGACUUCCAGAAAAGCCAGAAAUAAACAGCAAACUCGACAUCAUAAUACAAGAGAUAAUCAAAGAAAAUUGCCCAGAGAUUCUAGAAGAAGGGGGUAAUACAGCCACUGACAGAGCUCACAGAAAACCCUCUACACUAAACCCCCAAAAGACAACUCCCAGGAAUGUAAUUGCCAAAUUCCAAAACUCUCAAACAAAAGAAAAAAUGCUGCAAAAAGCCAGAAAAAGACAAUUUAGAUAUAAAGGAAUACCAAUCAGGGUCACACAAGACCUUGCAAGUUCCACUCUGAAUGAUCAUAAGGCAUGGAACAUGAUCUUCAGAAAGGCAAGAGAGCUGUGUCUUCAACCAAGAAUCAGCUAUCCAGCAAAACUGAUUAUAUACUUCCAAGGGAAAGUAUAGGAAUUCAACAAAAUAGAAGAUUUCCAACUUUUUGCAAUAAAAAGACCAGAGCUCUGUGGAAAGUUCGAUAUCGAAAAUCAAAGAGCAUUGAAUACCUGAAAAGAUGAUAUAAUGGUCUACUUGAAGAAUCCUAGAGAAUCAACUAAAAAGGUAGUGGAAAUAAUUAACAACUUUAGCAAAGUUGCAGGGUACAAGAUCACUCACCUGGUACCAGUCCUGCCCACCUGGCCUGGCUACUGCUGCCUGCUUCUGCAUUCCUGCAAUCCAGACCUCUUCGACCCAGAUCCUCUUUCCUGGUCCCAACCCGCAGAGGCCCAGCAACUCUGGCCUCCUAGCCAGAUCGCAGAUCGCCCUAGGCUGCUGAUAGCAGACCCAAUUUCUUCAGGAUCAAAAACCAACUGGAAAAAAAACUGUUACCUUGUGAAAUUCAUUUGCUUGUACUCACAGUGGAUCAUGGCCAGAUAUGAAGAGGAAAUGGAUCUCAUUUUUGAUUUGCAACCUUGGAGUCAUCUUCCAUACGUUAAUCUCCCUGACCUUACAUACAAAAUUGCUUGCUAUAUAUUGUUGAAUCUAUCCCUAAAUCAUUUUCUCUGAAUGUUGUCAUCACCCUAAUUCAAACCUCCAUUAUCUCUUACCAAGAAUACUCCAAUAAUAUUCUCAGUGGUUUUUGUACCUUCACUCCUUCCUUUCUAUCCUCCCUUGAGUUGUUAAAAUUGUGUUCUUAAAACAAAUACAACUAAGUCAUUUACCUCCUCAAUAAAUUGCAAUGGGUUCCUAGAUCA
rnacentral:lncRNA from 1 species